UUGCGUGACACCGGUUAAUGCAAGGUUUUGAUGUAAAAGAAACAUUUUCUGCAGCUGGUUAUUUUAAAUAUUCUGUGUUUGUGUUUAUAUAAUACGUCCAAUGAUAUCUGUCCUGUACAUGGUGAAAAGAAUACUGUUUCUAAAUAUAUAAUCUUAUCGGCGAGGUAGGACAUAAAGUGUGGCUGUGAACUGUUGUCGUACAGUCUGUACUGUUUUCUUUAUGGUUGGUUUGUGAGCUUUUUGCAGUUAACAAACUGGUCUGAUGAAAUGUUGCUUCGUGUGACACGGUGGAACUGGUUCAGAUGUUGUUUUGCUUUCUAUUUCAUUUGGCUAUGAGCUCAUUCUGAGACUUCUAACUUUUUAAAAAAUAUAUGUACGUGUCCAUUUCUAUUCUCCGUGUUAUUCUUAAAUGUGACUAUCGGGGGAAAAAAAUAGGGCAGGGUAUAUAUCUUUAGCAAAGUGCAAACAUACUAAGUUUUAACCAUUUUAACCUUUAACACUACUGAUUGUAGACGCUCGUAAACAAAGUAGGAGGAGGAAGAAGUUGACUCGUGACCAACGGGGGAUUUCUUUCUGAGCAUGUGUGUGACGUAUAGCAUGCUUAAAAGGCGGUCUGGGCUAUCAAUAGGUCAAACCUGUUCCUGAACAUCAAGUCUCAACACUGAAGAAGCAAAACGAUCCCGUGAAGCGCUUCUCGUUUUCGGACUAUUAUCGUUGAGAAAAUGGCCAGCAAAGACAGACCCUCAGGAGCUGCUGCCGCUGUUGAACUCUGCGCACGCGAGCUUCGUAAAGCCGGCGAUGAACUCUACUGGAAAUACAAACUGCUGGAAAUACUUAUCAAGCACUACAAGACUGUCGCUAAUGUCAAGUGAGACAUGAUGUGAGAGCUCAUCAAGAGGAAGCGUGUACUGUAAAUCUGACUGGCCGUGAGCCUAACAUUAAAGACGGGUCUCAUAUAUAGACUCAUAACUGGUGGCAAUAUGGUAGCCGUAAGUGGGAUGUACAUAUGUUUGUGGACACAUCUUGCUGGAGUCGCUGGAUUUGGACUGGCAGUGGACUCAAAAAGGAAGACAGGAGCUCUCCAGAGGAAAACUUGUGGGAUGCUGUUGAUCCGCUGAUACAGAUCGGUGACGAACUGGAUCGAACAGGAGCUUCAGAAUGGAUGAUAUCUGCUAAAGAUGAUGAUUGUCACAUGUAUAUACACCGUAUACUAUCUGUGGACAUUCAUGCAUGUUGGCUCUGUUAUAGGUUAAGGUGUAACAUUUAGACUAACUGACUUGGACCUAAAGGAAAUGACACUUGUGAAUCUAUAAAUUCUGUGAAUCUACUUAAAAUGCAUUUAAAAAAUGUCAGCAUAAGUGGAAGUGUGUCAUAAAUAGUUCAUUAAAAGAUAUACAUUCAGUAAAUGUAUUACUUGGU